rnacentral:rRNA from 1 species
UUAAAUUGAAGAGUUUGAUCAUGGCUCAGAUUGAACGCUGGCGGCAGGCCUAACACAUGCAAGUCGAACGGUAACAGGGAUCAG